UGGAAGCGUCUGGAAAGGCGCGCGAUACAGGGUGACAGCCCCGUACACAAAAAUGCACAUGCUGUGAGCUCGAUGAGUAGGGCGGGACACGUGGUAUCCUGUCUGAAUAUGGGGGGACCAUCCUCCAAGGCUAAAUACUCCUGACUGACCGAUAGUGAACCAGUACCGUGAGGGAAAGGCGAAAAGAACCCCGGCGAGGGGAGUGAAAAAGAACCUGAAACCGUGUACGUACAAGCAGUGGGAGCCUCUUUUAUGGGGUGACUGCGUAC
rnacentral:rRNA from 1 species